rnacentral:rRNA from 1 species
GACGAACGCUGGCGGCGUGCCUAAUACAUGCAAGUCGAGCGAAUCAAAGGGAGCUUGCUCCCUGAGGUUAGCGGCGGACGGGUGAGUAACACGUGGGCAACCUGCCUAUAAGACUGGGAUAACUUCGGGAAACCGGAGCUAAUACAGGAUAAUUCAUAUCUACUCAUGUAGGUGUGCUGAAAGACGGUUUACGCUGUCACUUAUAGAUGGGCCCGCGGCGCAUUAGCUAGUUGGUGAGGUAACGGCUCACCAAGGCAACGAUGCGUAGCCGGUCUGGGAGGGUGAUCGGCCACACUGGGACUGAGACACGGCCCAGACUUCUACGGGAGGCAGCAGUAGGGAAUCUUCCGCAAUGGACGAAAGUCUGACGGAGCAACGCCGCGUGAGUGAUGAAGGUUUUCGGAUCGUAAAGCGCUGUUGUUAGGGAAGAACAAGUACUAGAGUAACUGCUAGUACCUUGACGGUACCUACACAGAAAGCCACGGCUAACUACGUGCCAGCCGCCGCAGUAACAC